CAGAUAGUACUGGAUUAUCUGAAACAUCAGAAAAAGUAAAGAUAAUUUUUAAGGAAAAAUAUAAGGCACUGUUCUAGGCAUGAUGGAUAUGGAAAUUAACAAGUCAGAUGAGAUGCAUACCCUCUAGACACUCAUGUUCCAGUAAGAAGGACAGACGAUAAAGACAAAUAACCCUGUGCUUCAUCAGAAGGUGGUAUUUUCCACUUAUCAAAGUAAGUGGAUUCGAGGAAGGAAUCAAAGGAAAAUCAUUUCUUCUUGUUAAUGAUCAUAUAUUCAAGCCCUGACUUCAAU